GUCAUUAAAGGCCAUAAGAAACAUGCACCUUGCGAGGUACCCCACAAAGUGCUUCUUCCUCCUGCCAAAGAGGGGCACUUUUCUCUUUGCUUCCCUCCACAACCGCUCGAUAUUGUUUGUGGCGAACACACAAGUCAAGCAAGUCUCUUGCUUUCCCGGAGUACCGCAAGCAGAAGUCAAUGAGGCCAAAAUCGCAGUCGGUACACCUUUCCAAUGCCAUGACACAGACAGAAGUGACGGAGGUGAGGAAUUUAAGGUAUCCAAGCUGCAGGUGAGGAAACCCGAAUAUCCCUAAACGUGAAAAAAUCCCUAAAUCUGGGGCAAUGCUCUUCAAUGAGAACCCAAGCAGAUUAUGUUAUGGCUUAGAUUUCAACUUCAUUUUCAAUGUAAUAAAUUUGGGCAAGAGUGUCAUGCCUUGUCUGAAGGCAGAAAGACGCGUAAUAAAUUACAAAUACAUUUUUUCGUGUAUAAUUCGUUCUUCCCUUGUCCUCCCCCUCCUAACCCUACAAGUGUGAAAAGCUGCAGAAUUUGUACGUGACAGUACGUCACAGUACCUGCACGCACACAAACAAACAUAUGGAUUCCACCAGCCUCCUGCAAGCCAGUCUCAUCGCCCAUCGACUUGGAAAAAAUCGUGAGGCCCGCGUGGAGAAAUACACCCCUUGUGACAAACACGGCUGACCACUUGUCAAAAUCCCGUCGUAUGUGCUAGUAAUGUUGUAAUUACCACCAUACCGUGCCCUUUAUGCGCACCCGCUAGGAGCCGCUAUUCUUAAGAUUAUCCGAAAGUUGUUUUUAAGUUCAGUUGCAAAAGCAAUUUUUACAGUAUCACUACAUUGUCAUUAACUAAAAAUUUCAGAGCACACAAAAGGACAAGGAGCACAGUGGAGAGGGGGAUUGGCCAGUGGAAGCGGAGAUUUCAUGUGCUCCAUGGUGAAAUCAGAGUCAGCCCUCCUGCAUAUGUGUGUAGAAUAAUACAGGUGUGUGCUAUUUUGCACAACAUCUGCAAAGACAGACGCCUCCCUGUACCCGAGGAAGGAGAGGACGAGGGUGAUGGUGCAGGUUUCCAUGAGGACCCACCUGUCCCACUACCACCUGUACCUGGACGAGUUCGGGAAGGUCUGCGCUACAGGGAUGAGUUUGUCAACCUUCACUUCAUUGACAGACCUCAACCUCAGCCUCGUGCAGCUGUGUGAUGCUUCCCGACCCAUCAACAGGUUAAUUCCACACCUACUUCCAACUCUGCAGCCUGCAGUUCAAGUUCCCUCUUCAGGCGGAUGAACUGCAGCUCCUCCUCAUCCACCAACAUGGUGCAGGUCCCAACUGGUGUACUGGAGGAAGCUGCAGCGGCAGGAACUACUGGUGGUGGUGUGGUGGUGGUUUGAGGUGUGUCUGUGCUGGGUUGGGGAGGGACAGGUGGUGUGACAUCCACCUGAAGACUCCUGGCAAAAAUACAUCCAUCAGUACCUGCACUCAUAAUUUUCUUGUGUUAUUUGACUUACAUCCCCAUUUAUGGAAACAAUACAGUUUAGGUUGAAAAGCCUUUGCAGGAAAGGAGUGUGUGUUCCAGAGGUCAUUUCUUUGGUGUUCUGCUGUUCAGUACGUAAUGCCUACGUCGUUAAGGACAACUAGCAUGGUUCAUGAGUAAGCAGACCUGACCGAGGUCAGACGUGGGUCACGGCGCUCCGAAUGGAGUAGCCCGGGGCCAG